UUAUAUAAUUUUUUUUUGCUGAAUUUUCUAAUUUUUAAUUAAGUUAUUUUAUUUUUUUUGAUGUUUAGAAUAUUUGAAAAGCUUAUAUUUAUUAUAGUUUAUUUUUAAUGAAAAUGGUUUAUUUUAAUUUUGUUAAAAAAUUUUUUUAUUAUUUUACCUUUUGAUCAGGGUAAUAAAUAUUAUUUUGGAUUAAUUUUUUCGAAUUGUAAGGAUCUAUAUUAAAAGGAUUUUUAUUGUUUUAUAACUAUUUAAAAUUUUAAUAUAGGAGUGAAAUUCUAUACGUUUUAUAAGAUAUCUAGUUCUCUAAGAUAAAAAUUAAUUUUUAGUAAUUUUUAAAAUUGAUUUUUUUUUAUUAAUUUUUUAAUUUUCUAUUAUUAUUUAGGGGUUAAUCUCUAAAUUUAACUAUAAUUUAUUAAUUAUUUAUUUUUAUAUAGGCUUGGAAUUAGCCAUUGUUUAAGUUUGUAUUAUUUUAUUAUAUGAAUUAAUUAUUUUUUAUUUUAUUUAGUUAUUUUAUUAGAGUUUAAUUUGGAAUUUUUUUUUAUUAGUAAUAAUGAUUGAAUUAGUAUAUUUAUUUAUUUUGUUAUUUUAAUAAUUGAUUUAAAAUUAUUAUAAGGAAUUCGGCAAUUAUAUUUCCGCCUGUUUAUCAAAAACAUCUUUUGUAGAAUUUAUUACAGGUAGGGCCUGCACACUGAAUUUUUAAAGAGCCGCAGUAUUUUGACUGUGCAAAGGUAGCAUAAUCAUUAGUAUAUUAAUUGUAUACUGGAAUGAAAGGUUUGACGAGAAAUAUACUGUCUCUUUUUAAUUUAUAGAAUUUUACUUUUUAGUUAAAAGGCUAAAAUUUUUUUUUUGGACGAUAAGACCCUAUAGAAUUUAAUUUAUUAUUUAUUAUUAAUUUGGGUUAUUUUAUAUUUUUAUGUUAUAGUUAAAUUUAGUUGGGGCGAUUUGAAUAAUUAAUAAACUGUUCAUUUAUUUUUUCAUUGAUUAAUGUUUUUUUUGAUCCUUUAUUAUAGAUUAUAAGAUUAAAUUACCUUAGGGAUAACAGCGCAAUCAUCUUUGAGAGUUCUUAUUGACAGGAUUGGAUUGUGACCUCGAUGUUGGAUUAAAAUUAUUAAUUAGGUGAAGAUGCUUAAAUUAUUGGUCUGUUCGACCAUUAAAAUCUUACAUGAUCUGAGUUCAGACCGGUGUGAGCCAGGUUGGUUUCUAUCCAAUAAUAAAUUAAGUUUUCUAGUACGAAAGGACCGUUAAUUUUAAUUAUUUUAUUUGAUUUGAAUAAUAUU
rnacentral:rRNA from 1 species